rnacentral:rRNA from 1 species
AGAGUUUGAUCCUGGCUCAGAACGAACGCUGGCGGCAGGCCUCAAACAUGCAAGUCUAGGGGGUGUAGCAAUACAUCACCGGCGGACGGGUGCGUAACACGUGGGAAUAUACCUUUUGGUUCGGAACAACGCAGGGAAACUUGCGCUAAUACCGAAUGUGCCUUUACGGGGAAAGAUUUAUCGCCAAAGGAUUAGCCCGCGUCCGAUUAGCUAGUUGGUGAGGUAAUGGCUCACCAAGGCUCCGAUCGGUAGCUGUUCUGAGAGGAAGAUCAGCCACACUGGGACUGAGACACGGCCCAGACUCCUACGGGAGGCAGCAGUUGGGAAUCUUGGACAAUGGGGGAAACCCUGAUCCAGCCAUGCCGCGUGAGUGAUGAAGGCCUUCGGGUUGUAAAACUCUUUCGACGGGGACGAUAAUGACGGUACCCGUAGAAGAAGCUCCGGCUAACUUCGUGCCAGCAGCCGCGGUAAUACGAAGGGGGCUAGCGUUGUUCGGAAUUACUGGGCGUAAAGCGCGCGCAGGCGGUUUUUCAAGUCAGUGGUGAAAGCCCGGAGCUCAACUCCNGAACUGCCAUUGAAACUGUGAAACUUGAGGAUGAGAGAGGUGAGUGGAAUUCCCAGUGUAGAGGUGAAAUUCGUAGAUAUUGGGAAGAACACCGGNUGGCGAANGCGGCUCACUG